rnacentral:rRNA from 1 species
AUACGUAGGGUGCGAGCGUUGUCCGGAAUUACUGGGCGUAAAGAGCUCGUAGGUGGUUUGUCGCGUCGUCUGUGAAAUUCCGGGGCUUAACUCCGGGCGUGCAGGCGAUACGGGCAUAACUUGAGUACUGUAGGGGGGACUGGAAUUCCUGGUGUAGCGGUGAAAUGCGCAGAUGUCAGGAGGAACACCGGUGGCGAAGGCGGGUCUCUGGGCAGUAACUGACGCUGAGGAGCGAAAGCAUGGGUAGCGAACAGGAUUAGAUACCCUGGUAGUCCAUGCCGUAAACGGUGGGCGCUAGGUGUAGGGGUCUUCCACGACUUCUGUGCCGUAGCUAACGCAUUAAGCGCCCCGCCUGGGGAGUACGGCCGCAAGGCUAAAACUCAAAUGAAUUGACGGGG